UACGUAGGCAGCAAGCGUUGUUCGGAGUUACUGGGCGUAAAGGGUGCGUAGACGGUUGUUUAAGUUUGGUGUGAAAUCUCCCGGCUCAACCGGGAGGGUGCGCCGAAUACUGAACGGCUAGAGUGCGGGAGAGGAGAGUGGAAUUCCUGGUGUAGCGGUGAAAUGCGUAGAUAUCAGGAGGAACACCGGUGGUGUAGACGGCUCUCUGGACCGUAACUGACGCUGAGGCACGAAAGCGUGGGUAGCAAACAGG
rnacentral:rRNA from 1 species